GUACCCCGUCCCAUGCCCAGAGACCAAGGAGACACCCUCGUUCACCGGUGAGGAAUGCCGAAGCUCCGUUGUAGUUCGGCCGUGGGAGAGAGGAGGUGUCUAACUGGUCAAACCUGACCAGUGAGCCCGAGGGUCCGACCAUCAGUGACACCUGCCCUCCUGAGGUGUUUAAGUGGAAACGUAUUCCUGCGUAAUAUGCUUUCAUCAAGAGAAUACGUAAGGUCUACCGAACUAUUUUCUUUUAUGUAAUUUAUUUAAAAACCAAUCUUUGACCCCAA
rnacentral:lncRNA from 1 species